rnacentral:rRNA from 1 species
CCUACGGGAGGCAGCAGCGGGGAAUCUUAGACAAUGGGCGCAAGCCUGAUCUAGCCAUGCCGCGUGAGUGAUGAAGGCCCUAGGGUCGUAAAGCUCUUUCAACUGUGAAGAUAAUGACGGUAGCAGUAGAAGAAACCCCGGCUAACUCCGUGCCAGCAGCCGCGGUAAU